UGCUUGCACCUCUUCAAGUGAGUGCCGAACCCCUUUAUUAACACCUGGCACAACCUGCCUCAAUGCUCGGUAUAACAUUUGUUAAACAGAUGCUAAUACCGAAUAAAACUUAGUGUCGCAUGACACAUAGUUAAUACGCGCUUCGGCGUCACCUAGAGAUGUAUCCGCGGUGCAUUAGUUAGUUGGUGGGGUAAAGGCCUACCAAGACAAUGAUGCAUAGCCGAGUUGAGAGACUGAUCGGCCACAUUGGGACUGACACACGGCCCACACUCCUACGGGAGGCUGCAGUAGGGAAUCUUCCUCAAUGGGCGAUAGCCUGAUGGAUCAACGCCGCGUGUGUGAUGAAUGCUUUCGGGUCGUAAAGCACUGUUGUAUGGGAAGAACAGCUAGAAUAGGAAAUGAUUUUACUUUGACGGUACCAUACCAGAAAGGCACAGCUAAAUACGUGCCAGCCGCCGCGCUAAUACGUAUGUCCCGAGCGUUAUCCGGAUUUAUUGGGCGUAAAGCUAGCGCAUACGGUUUAUUAUGUCUGAUGUCAAAUCCCGGAGCUCAACUCCGGAAUGGCAUUGGAAACUGGUUAACUUGAGUGCCAUAGAUGUAAGUGGAACUCCAUGUGUAUCGGUGGAAUGCGUAGAUAUAUAGUAAAAACACCAUCUGAUCGAAUGGCAGCCUUUACUGGAACUGCAAACUGAACGUUUGAAGCCUCGAAAAGUGGUGGGUUAGCAAAACACGGAUUAGAAUACCCCUGGUUAGUACCACCCCCUUAAUCGAAUGAACCACUAUGGUGUUAAGGAAGGUUUUCCCCCCUCUUAAUGCCCGAAACCUAUCCGCAUUCAAGUGUU
rnacentral:rRNA from 1 species